rnacentral:tRNA from 1 species
UCUAAUAUGGCAGAUUAGUGCAAUAGAUUUAAGCUCUAUAAAUAAAGAUUAGACUUUUAUUAGAA